AGAGCAAGCUAUUGUGGUAAACCUUGAACAGAUCAGAUGUGUCAUCACAGCUGAUGAGGUUAUACUGAUGAAUUCUUUGGAUGCUUGUGUACUGCAAUACGAGUCUGAAUUGUGUAAACGCCUUCAGAUAAAUAGAGAUCAGCCGGAUGGUCUUCCUUUCGAGUUCAGAGCCCUUGAGCUUGUUUUGGAGCUAACUUGCUUGUCUCUUGAUGCUCAGGUGAAAGAAUUAGAACUGGAAGUAUACCCCGUGCUUGAUGAACUAGCGUCAUCUAUUAACACUCUAAAUCUG
rnacentral:misc_RNA from 1 species